rnacentral:rRNA from 1 species
GGUGAGUAAUGUCUGGGAAACUGCCUGAUGGAGGGGGAUAACUACUGGAAACGGUAGCUAAUACCGCAUAACGUCGCAAGACCAAAGAGGGGGACCUUCGGGCCUCUUGCCAUCAGAUGUGCCCAGAUGGGAUUAGCUAGUAGGUGGGGUAACGGCUCACCUAGGCGACGAUCCCUAGCUGGUCUGAGAGGAUGACCAGCCACACUGGAACUGAGACACGGUCCAGACUCCUACGGGAGGCAGCAGUGGGGAAUAUUGCACAAUGGGCGCAAGCCUGAUGCAACCAUGCCGCGUGUAUGAAAAAGGCCUUCGGGUUUUUAAGUACUUUCA